UUUUUUUUUCUUCUUCUUAUCUCCUAAAUGUGACUAGAAAAAGAAAAAACAGAAACAUAUAUCUGUAAUGGAGAGAUUAUUCCUGAGAGAUUUCUUAGGUAGCUCUCUCCAAGAACUUUAAUAAAAAUUCUGCCUGACCCCUCAGCUUGUGAAUGUUUGGCUUUUAGAAUGUGGUUGGAUCUGCAAUGUGUGCAAAUGCCUAGAACUGAAAGAUGUUUCAAGGCAUUCUCUUUGUCCUAAGAUAAAGAAAUUAAAUGGCCUCUAAUGUAUGCUUUCCACUUAUAAAAAAACCUUGGGGUAAUUAUGAAUGAUCAGCCACUUGAUAGUAUUAUAACAAUAGACUCCAUGGAGUAAUAAAAUUAUUGUGGCUUUAGUGUCACUCAGAGCCAAAUACCAACUGAGCUCUGCCAUUUAAUAACCAUGUGAUUUUAAUGAUUUUGAGGCUCAAUGGUCUCAUCUCUGCAAAAGGAGUAGCAAAAAUACCUACUUGAUUUUUGUGACGAUUAAGCAAGAUAAAUGAGAACCAUCACAUUCUAUAAUUCAAGGGGCCACCAUUUAUAGAAUAUAUAAAAUAAGGAGUGCCUCUUGGCUUUGUGAAAUGUGGUAGGCUUGAGUAACAUGUGCAAAGCCCUUGCCUCACAGUUAAACACAAAGUAGAUACUCAGCAUUUGUAUUUUUUAGUACCACUGCAGUAACAAAAACAGUGUGGGCUUGACAUCAUUUGCACAUCAAGACUCUUGUUUAUUGAGCAUAGCAAUAAUAUUCUGUGUCUGUUUUGGAUUCCACAUUCCUAGGACAAUGCCUGGUUCAUAGAAGUAACUCAAUAUCAAUAUAUUGACUACAUGAAGAUAACAUUAAUCUUACAUGAUUGGUAAAUCAGAAGACCUUUGAAAACUUUAUCCUUCAGUAAGAAUUCCCGGUAAGUUUAGGUUUGAGGACAAGUGUGAUCUGGAACACAGCUCUUCUGUUCCCUCAAGUGAAAUAAGCUUUGGUGAAUUUUUACAAUGAGGAUCUAUAAAGCUAUGGUAUACACAUAGCUUUUCAAACAUAAAGUAAUGCUAGUGAGUGGGUGAGUGGGUGGGUCUUCUGAAAAAAAGUGAGUGGGGUAUUUGCCAAAUAAAUAUGUGAUGUUGGUAUUAAGGCAUAGACAGAUUUAAAGAAUUGUCGCCAAACAUUCAAAAGAAGAAAUGAAAUCUAAUUUACGAAGUUAACAAGGUACCAAUUUUCCAUUUGGGGAGAAUCUAAACCAAUGAUAUUUUCUAAAACUGUCUACUAGGUACAUUAUGCUCCCUCUAAGCAACCAGCCCAGAAGACGACAUUCUUCCCUGGAGUUCCAUUUUCAUGUGAAUCUUGACUCUUCAACUCACAUUGUUACUUCUAUCCACUUUUUAAAUAUGAAGAAAAGACUGGCUUACAGAUUGGUCACUCACACUGUGAGAAAGCCUUUGAGCAUGAUGAGGAAACUGAGUUUCAGAGAAAUAAAUUGGCUUCCAUCAAUGUUACACAGUAGGAGGGGUAGCUGGUACUACAGCAUAUCCAGAUUUGUGCCCUGACAUAAAUAACCCUACUCAAUGUGGAGUUAAACCCAAAGUAAGGAACUACUUGUCUUCAAUAUCUAUAUAUCUCCUGGACACCUAAAUUUCUUUUAUUGGGCCAAGGGCCAUAUCAGUAUUAUCACUACUAUCAAAAUGCAUCAAAGUAACCUUGGAAAUGGUCUUCUACCAAUUUCUGUCUCUGUGUCCACCACAAUCCAUGUCCAAAACAAAGGGAUAUUUCUGAGUCAUAGUAUUCUAAUUCUUUCAUAAAUGUUUAGCAUUCUCCAAGUUACCAGUCAAUUCACUAGCCCUACAGAGAAGAAAGGGCAUGGCCCUAUGUGUUCAUUCUGUCCAUGUUGUCUUGGUCAGUUGCAGUCACAGAAACUCAGAGUCAGAAGGGACCUAAAAACUAAAGGUCAUGGACUCCAGCUCUAACUGGUUCCAUGAUCUCUAGAUUUGAGUCCCAAAUCCAAGCUUCUCUAUCCUCGAGCAAUGAAACUUGGACAGGUAAAUCUUUGUUAAGUUUCAAUUUCUACCUCUAUGAAAUUAAGACAGUAAGAGUUCUCAGCUCCUAGGGAUGUUGAAAGGAUUAACAAAUCAUAAGGUUGUUUAAAGGAGCUGGCCCUUUCUUACAUUUCAGAUUCAGUUUAAAUGCCAGCUCCUCUGAAAUUUCCUCCCUAAUAACCUUAUUUAAAUUGAUCUUUCUACUAUUCUUUUAAACCCAUCAUCUUUUUUUUCUCCUUUAUGACAUAAUCUGUGAUAAAUGAUUUUGUUCAUUUUCUCACUAGUUUACCUUCUGUCUCCCCGACAAAUCCACCAGCUUUGUGAAGGCUGGGUCUGUCUGUAUCCCCAAAGGUAAGCACAAGGCUGGGAUAAUGCUCCACAUGAAACAAAUACUAACAGAUGGAUAGUGUGCAAUGACCAAUUAAUGUAUAUUUAUGAUCAUUACUAUAUAGACCUCUGCACAUUUCAUGUGAAUAUUAUCUGCUUCAAUUAUGCCAAUAAGUUUAUUUCAAACAACUUGAGGCAUAAUUUUUACAUGUUUGAGAGACAUAAAAAGACAAAAAUAUUGUCAGAUUAAGAGUGGAAAAUUUGAGAAUGUAAAAAAAAGAAAAGCAUUUUUUUGUGUGUUUUUUUUUAAUCAUUCAAUGUGGCUUUAUUUCUAAUUGUCCAGCUGUGUCCCACAUAGCCAACCUGAGUUCUAACCCGCUGAAGGUCCUAAUGACCACCCUGGGGAGGACACUCACUGGGCAACCACCCUGACAGCAAGUCCAGUGUCUGGACCUUACACAUGGGGAGGAUGGGCUGACCUUGGCCCUGAGCCAGCUCCAGAGGUGGCUGGGCAUUAGUAAAUAGUCUUUGAGGGUGAUGUGCCACCUGGAAGGGAGGGAGGGACAAGGCAAAAGACCUGCAGCUCCCACACUUAGCAUUCCCCAGGCCCCUCCCCAUAUAUAUAUGCACAACUGAAUCACUAUGCUGUACACCUGAAACUAAACACAACAUUGUAAAUCAACUAUAUUUCAAUUAAAAAAUUAAAAGGAGGAAUUUCCGUCAUGGCUCAUCAAUAACAAACCCAACUAGUAUCCACAAGGAGGUGGGUUUGAUCCCUGGCCUUGCUCAGUGAGUUAAGGAUCUGGCAUUGCUGUGGCUGUGGUGUAGGCUGGAGGCUGUGGCUCUAAUUUGUCCCCUAACCUGGGACCUUUCAUUUUCCAUGGGUGCAAACUGCCCCCCGCCAAAAAAAAAAAAAAAAAGGAAAAAAAAAGAAACAAAAUAACAACCAAAACUAAAAAGAAUUGGAAAUUUUGAUGAGGAAAAAGGACCACAUUAUGAAAAAUUAUAUAGAACCCGACUCUUUAGUGCUUAAAACCUAUCCCAACUACCUCUACUCAGGGCUCCACUGCUUGCUGACCUCUAGUGACAGGAAGGUUAUGCUCUUAGGAUACAGUCCCAUCCAUUUUUAGACUGCUCUGAUUAUUAGGAAAAAAUCUUUCCUUAUGUUGAACAGAAAUCAGUAUCCUGGAAGCAAACAUUCGUCGACACCGCUUCAAUCCCCAAGAUUGGGGAGAUCAUUUCUAAUUACCACUCCCAUAGUAGCCCCUUAUCAAAAUAAAAACACCUUUCAAAUAGUCCUUGAUUUUUCCCUUCUCCAGGUUAAUUAAAUCCACUUCAGUCAAGUUUAAUCACACAUCCAUAUUUGUAUUCAUAUCUGUAGGAUACCUUUAGCAGAUAAGGCCACAUAUUCAGAAUCAUAACUUGGUGAAGACAUUAAAGGAAAACAUUUUCUUUUUAUAAUUAUUUUAUGGGCCUACAAAGCACACUCACAUUCCUAAAUGUAUGAGAUAGCAUCUUGUUGGCAUGUUCCUUUAUGCAUUGGUUUCUGGGCCUCAGCUCAGAACAGCCCUCAGCUAGGUGUAAUAAAUGUUCUAUCGUCUUGCAGUGAGAAAGGUAUACAGUUAUUUCCCCCAUACUGAUAGGGUAAAUGCAUUUAGGUUUUCCCAAAUCCAUGAGAGGCUAGUUUCCCGUGUCCUUCCAACAGGAAGCUCUGAUGAUUCCAUUCACUCGUUUGUUUAAGAGAAAUCCACAUGAAUAGGACAUGUAGGUCUUUGUAGUAGGCAGAACAAUUCCCCUAAGAUGUUCACGUCUUAAUUUGUUGCAUUACACAGCAAAAGGUUUUUUUGCAGUUACGGUUUAUGUUACAAACCUUGAAAUAAGGAUUCUCCAGAUAGGACGAAUCUAAUCAAAUGAGUCUUUAAAAGUGGAAGGGAAAGGCAGAAGAAUAGCUUAGAGAGAUUCAGGGUCUAAGAAGGAACUGACCUGCCAUCAUGGGCUUUGAAGAUGGAGAAGGCACUGAGCCAAGCAAUGCGAACGGCCUGCAGAAGCUGAGAAUGACUCUUGGCUGACAGCCAGCAAGGAAACAGAGAUCUCAACCCUACUAUUGCAAGGAACUCAUUUUUAAUUAGCAAAGAAAUGGAUCUGCCCCUGGAGUCUCCAGAAAGGAAUGGAACCUUCUUGACACCUUGAUUUUAGCCCAGUGAGACCCAGGACAGAUGUCCAUCAUAUAGAAGUGUGAGUCAUUAACGUGGUAGUUUUAAAUCACUAAAUUUGUACAAACUUGCUACAUCACCAAUGGAAAACUAACACCAUCUGGAUGGUGGUAAAUUAGUACCAAUGCUCUGAGGGGGAUAUAAUUCAGUAAGGGUUGGGUUUAGCAAGAACUGCAUUACUGAAAUCAUCCAAUCAGUGCUACCCUAUACAGACAUACUAAAACCCAUUCUUCCUUGCUUCCUAAAGACAAAGGGUACAACUUCUUGUUGAAGACAAUAAAUUCAAAGUUUGGGAAUAGUCCUAAUUAUCAGAGACUUUGCAGAUGAGUUUGUAUAUUGCAAAGCAAUUUUAGUUUUAAUUUAGGGGAAAAGGGUAGAUAUAUAUAAUUCAACAUGUAGGAACAAGAAACUAACGCCUUGUGUUUCUCCAUCCUUCUAAUUUCCUUUUUUUUCCUCUUUCCCCUUCCCUUUUUCCUCACACCCAGCACCACACUAUACAAAUUUUCAAAUUUUUGGAGUAGAGACUAUAAGUACCCUUUUAAUGAAAAUGUAAUGCAUCAUUUAAUGAGAAUAUGUGUCCUCCACAAAACAACUGACUUUUCUCCUGACCUGUCCUAACAUUGAAUAAGCUAUUUCUUCCACCAAGCUAUUUCAAUCUCUUGGUAGAGUGGUGUGAUUAAUCUUUACAACUCGUUUGAAGAUAUUUGCUCUAGAGGAAGCAUAAAGUUUCUCGGAGUUAACAAAAGCCCUCAUCUCAGUGAGUCUUUAGUGGUGUUGCCUUAGGAUAGUUCCUGGCAGUUCAUUAAUUCUCUUGUCAAGAUUAUUUUAAAUAUGUUUCUGGUCCAUGAUAUAAUUCAUCAACAAAAGUAUACCCCAAUGCCAGAAUCUACCUUCCAGCUUGUUUUCUGUCUGUGUUUUUAAAAUAUAUUUCCAGGUUUUUAAUAAGUGUUAUACUCCUCUUUAGAAAGUUGGCCAUCACUCAUAACUUUCAUGACAUAGAGAUACAAAACAUCCAAGAGAAAAAGCCAUCUGCAUUUUGCAAUUCAAGGCAAUGAUACUGAUAUAUUCGAACUUGUAUUGCAUAGUAUGGAUGAGGUUAACUCUACAAAUUUGAAAUGUCAAGCAUCUUCUAUUAAUAUUAAGAAAGUAUCACCACAUUCAUUUAAUUAAACAAAUGUUUAAUGAGUAUCUUCUUAUUUCUAUGCAUUGAGUCAAAGAUAGGGCAACUGAUAAGAAAAAAAAUGGUGUUGCCCUCUUGGGAAUUAUAGUCUGGCAUUCUUAAAGAAAAAGAAUUGAUGGGAGUUCCUGUUGUGGCUCAGUGGUUAAUGAAUCUGACUAGGAACCAUGACGUAGCGGGUUCAAUCCCUGGCUUCGCUCGGUGGGUUAAGGAUCUGGUGUUGCCAUGAGCUGUGGUGUAGGUUGCAGAUGUGGCUCCAAUCCCAUGUUGCUGUGGCUCUGGCCUAAGCUGGCGGCUACAGCUCUGAUUAGACCCCUAGCCUGGGAACCUCCAUAUGCUGUAGGUGCAGCCCUAGAAAAGACCAAAAAAAAAAAAAAAAAAAAAAAAAAA
rnacentral:lncRNA from 1 species